UACGAAGGGAGCUAGCGUUGUUCGGAAUUACUGGGCGUAAAGCGCGCGUAGGCGGCUUUGUAAGUUAGAGGUGAAAGCCCGGGGCUCAACUCCGGAACUGCCUUUAAGACUGCAUCGCUUGAAUCCGGGAGAGGUGAGUGGAAUUCCGAGUGUAGAGGUGAAAUUCGUAGAUAUUCGGAAGAACACCAGUGGCGAAGGCGGCUCACUGGACCGGUAUUGACGCUGAGGUGCGAAAGCGUGGGGAGCAAACAGG
rnacentral:rRNA from 1 species